CCAGGCCACGCUGGCCGCUGUCAGCAGGGACACCUCCCAAAUGUGCAGGAGUGUCCGCGCUCUCUGGGACGUCCAGAGGACAGAACGUGCCUGACCCUACAGCUCUGAUGACUUAGCAACAGGCCCCAGAAAACGGCCCAAGCCGGUCCCUGCCACAGGCAGGCACCACGGCCAGGCUCCUGGCGUCCUGCAUCCUCCCUGCCCCCACCUUCCCCUGCUCCUUGCUUAGCGGGUGCUAUGGAGACCGCACUAUAGAAACACCCAGCUGAAAGCAUUUAAGACCCACAGAACGCUCCCACUUAGUCACCCUGGGCUGAACAGCCCUGUAAUCCGAGAAGACAAAAGUGAUCAGAACACAUGUCUCCUCUCCUCUGUGGAGCAAGCCGGUGACUCAGAGCGGGGGAAGGGUGUUCUAGAAAACACCCGAGGCUUUGGUUCCCCUCGCCGGAUAGGCCAUCGUGGCUUUCCCACGUUUCUCAAAACACCAACGCUGCCCCCUAACUGCUGCAGCUGGUGAAUGACAGCGGAAUCCUUGGGCCUCAGCUGUCACCACUGUGCGAAAAGACAGGUGUGGUGUGCCCCGUGCUGCCGCCGAAAGCCCUCUCAGCUCUGACAGCAUAAGAUGCUCCAGAUUUCCCACGGUGCUAUCCAAUUGUUUUUUUCCAGGAGGACCCCUAACUGCUUAUACUCCAAGGAAAGAUGUCCCACUGCUGGGAUGCAGUGGCUUGUCCACAGACCGCCUUUCACGCUGAAGAGCUUUUUAAAAUGAGAACAGUAGACGCAUAAGGGGCUUAAACCACUGCCAUCAAACUCCACGUGUUAACAGGAGCAGCCUCUGCCAUUAUCUUUUUUGAAGAUCUCAAUUAUGGUUAUUUUGGUUUUGCUUUGUUAAUUACACAUCCAUUGAAAUAGGACAAAUCUCUCCCCUUUCUCAGAGGGCAAUCUGGAGGCACCUCCCGGAACAACGGAGCCCAGUGAGGGGGAGCAAACUGCAGGAACCACCUGCUUCAGUCAGCACAGGCCCCGGCAACAGCCCACGGCCCACAGCCCACACCCAGAACACUCGAGGCCCCAGUCUCUGUGUCUCAGAGAGGGAACGGGGAAGAUGGAUCAGGGCAGAGGAGGGGGCCCCUGGCAACCUCAACCCCAGCUGGGUGGGUGGGCCCUCUGCCCUCCCAGCGGCAGGAGCCUGCCUGUGUCAGCAGCUCCAAGUGCUGGGCUGCUGAGAGCCUGGCACUGGGCCGGAAGGGACCGUCCACCGCCCUGGCCCUCUGCGCUCGGGCAGAAGGUUUGGCCCACGCUGGGGGUGACCCGGCCCCACACCCACGCCCAUCCAUCUGCCUCCAGCCUUCUCUUCCUGGGCUCUCGCCUCUGCUGCGGUCUUGGCGGCCCCUCCCUCAGAGCCCAGAGCCUACACAAGGGGUAGGAAGGGCACACUGCCUCCCUGUGGCCCCCACCAGCGGGCCACAAACCAACGCGAAUCCCAAAGGCACGGACGACUGCUGGGUUUUCUAACAGUCACGGUGUCCCUUGGAGGAAGAGAACUCCUGCCUAAUCAGAGCCUGGGCUGGGGGUGGGGCCAAAGGAAACAGAAACUGGAGAAGUCCUUGGCCAAGUCCCUCCGGAGGGGAUCGUGCACCCAGAGCCUGACCAACUCCACCCAGCACUGCUUCCCAAAGUGCUUCACCUGGGAUGGCUCUCGGCACCAGUCCCACCCCAGCCCGGACCCUUCCGUCAGAAGCCCUGGAGACUGCCAACCAGCCAGGGGCCGGCUGUCCAUCAGAAUCACCCCAAAACUUUGAGAACCUGACAGUCAGGCUAAAGUACAACCAUUCACCCGCAUGCCUGGGGAGGGGGACCCUGGGCCAGAGACAGGGCGCCAGAUGAGGCCUGUGACCACGCCCUGUCAGACACACAGUAGGUCCUCCACUGACUGUCCCCUGUAGCCGCCUCCACACAGAUGGGCGCUUCUGUCAGCGCCUGGUCCAGCGAGCACGGCAAUGACCAGAGGUGCAGGGCGUGACCUCAGCCAUGUGGGCAGUACUUGGUGUGCCCCCUACUUCUAGAAAAAAACUUCUGUCCUAGUUUGUGCCCUAUAUGCCUCUAAGUGCCUGUUCCCUGACCUAUAAUUAAAAUCAAUUCUCUCGCGGGAAAUCCCAAAACACAGUCUCAAUUAUCAGCAGUUCACGAAACUGGCCCAGUCCCACUCACAGGGAGCCCAUCACAGAUGGACUGACAGACAGACAGACACGCUCACGGGGGACAAGCCUCUGCCCCGCUCAGGAGCUGAGGUGCCUCGGGGAAGGUGUGUAGGUGCUCCAAGGGUCAACCCCUGCCUGGUGGGUGCUCGGGGGCCUCUCUACUCUCCCUGGCAAGCAUCCUGCCCACACUGAGCUCCAGUCGGGGAGGGAAAACACAUGGACCAGGGGCUCCAGAAGGCUCACAGGUUACCCCAGGGAUUGACCCAAGGAAGUCCACCCA